AAAUGAAUAGGAAUUGGCCAGACCAAUAUAUUUCAGUUAAAAUUUUUAUUCUAGCACUAAAACCGUAGGUGCUGUAAAGCUUAAGACUAAAGAUACUGCUGAUAACUUAUAUUGAAUGACCAAGGACCAUCCGAUGUACCAACUACUACUCUCAUUUGACGCCUUCAAUUACGUAAAAUCGUGACCGCCACAUAUUUGAUCGGUUUGUAAGAGCAGCGUGGCAAUCUUUUUUAAGUCAAUCGGUCAGAUUGGAGAGAGACGGGAAUCGCCCUCCCGCGCCCUUAUAAUUAUUUUUAAUUUCCGGGGCAACAUCGAUGUUUUUCCAUUUCAAGAUCGAAGAAUUUAAAGUACAUACUACUGUGCGCCAAAAUAAUCCCCUCCCGAUAAAAUACACUUAUGCCAACGUUUUUUCACAUCCCCGAAACAGGCCAAAUAGUCCCUUUCCGGUACAGCCAUGAGCGCCCUCGUCGAUUCCAUUUUUAUCUCUUCAAUCAACUCGAAACGCUUUCCCCCGAGUGGUCUCUUAAGUUUUGGGAAAAGCCAGAAGUCACACGGGGCCAAAUCAGGAGAAUGCGGUGGUUGCGGAACGAUACGCGUCAAAUUCUUGGCGAAAUGGUCACGAAGAACGAGUGCAGUGUGUGAAAAAACCAAGAGUUGUUGGCUCAUAUUUCUGGUCUUUUUCGGCGAAUUGCUUCACGCAAACGACGCAUAACGCUCAAAUAAUAUUCCUUAUUAACAGUUUGGCCAGUUAAAAAAAAUCUGGGACAUGGUAGAAUCACCAAAAGCCUUCCGCAACAUCCUUAACGUUUCCGCAGCCGAAAUUUUACUCCGCAAACAAAAUUUGAUGGCACUUCCUGCUCAAUUAAAUCAGACAUUGCAAAAAUCGACAAAUGCACUUUUGAUCGUUUGGUAAACACAAGCGUAAAUAUAGUACUGAUAAAUUACCGCCAGAUGUCAUCAACAGUCCUGCCAACUCAAGAAAAAAAGAACUGGUCCGCCAUCUUAAGCCCGAGAAUUUUAAAUUGAAAAUUCACAUUACUUUUUACAUCAUUAAAUUUCAUUCUUAAUUAUUUACAGAA